AGAGUUUGAUCCUGGCUCAGGAUGAACGCUAGCGGCAGGCUUAACACAUGCAAGUCGAGGGGUAACAGGAGAAAGCUUGCUUUCUCGCUGACGACCGGCGAACGGGUGCGUAACACGUAUGCAACCUACCUUUCACUGGAGGAUAGCCCCGAGAAAUCGGGAUUAAUACUCCAUAACAUCACAGAUUCGCAUGUUUCUGUGAUCAAAGCUCCGGCGGUGAGAGAUGGGCAUGCGGUCUAUUAGUUUGUUGGUGAGGUAACGGCUCACCAAGACUACGAUAGAUAGGGGGUCUGAGAGGAUGAUCCCCCACACUGGUACUGAGACACGGACCAGACUCCUACGGGAGGCAGCAGUGAGGAAUAUUAGACAAUGGGCGAAAGCCUGAUCUAGCCAUGCCGCGUGCAGGAAGACGGCCCUACGGGUUGUAAACUGCUUUUAUAUGGGAAUAAACCCCCGGACGUGUCCGGGGCUGAAGGUACCAUACGAAUAAGGAUCGGCUAACUCCGUGCCAGCAGCCGCGGUAAUACGGAGGAUCCAAGCGUUAUCCGGAUUUAUUGGGUUUAAAGGGUCCGUAGGCGGGACUUUAAGUCAGUGGUGAAGCCCCCAGCUCAACUGGGGAACUGCCAUUGAUACUGAAGUUCUUGAGUACACCUGGAGUAGGCGGAAUGUGUCAUGUAGCGGUGAAAUGCAUAGAUAUGACACAGAACACCGAUCGCGAAGGCAGCUUACUAAAGUGUAACUGACGCUGAGGGACGAAAGCGUGGGGAGCGAACAGGAUUAGAUACCCUGGUAGUCCACGCCGUAAACGAUGAUCACUCGAUAUUGGCCGCAAGGUCAGUGUCCAAGCGAAAGUAUUAAGUGAUCCACCUGGGGAGUACGCUGGCAACAGUGAAACUCAAAGGAAUUGACGGGGGCCCGCACAAGCGGUGGAGCAUGUGGUUUAAUUCGAUGAUACGCGAGGAACCUUACCAGGGCUUAAAUGCAGAACGACCGGCGUGGAAACAUGCCUUUCUUCGGACGGACUGCAAGGUGCUGCAUGGUCGUCGUCAGCUCGUGCCGUGAGGUGUCGGGUUAAGUCCCAUAACGAGCGCAACCCCUAUCUUUAGUUGCCAGCGGGUAAUGCCGGGGACUCUAGAGAAACUGCCAGCGUAAGCUGAGAGGAAGGUGGGGAUGACGUCAGAUCAUCACGGCCCUUACGUCCUGGGCUACACACGUGCUACAAUGGCAAGGACAAUGAGCUGCCAACCCGCGAGGGUGAGCAAAUCUUCAAACCUUGUCUCAGUUCGGAUCGGAGUCUGCAACUCGACUCCGUGAAGUUGGAAUCGCUAGUAAUCGCGUAUCAGCCAUGACGCGGUGAAUACGUUCCCGGGCCUUGUACACACCGCCCGUCAAACCAUGGAAGCUGGGGGUGCCUGAAGUCCGUUACCGCAAGGAGCGGCCUAGGGUAAAACCAGUGACUGGGGUUAAGUCGUAACAAGGUA
rnacentral:rRNA from 1 species